UUAUUCCCAUCUCCUACAUCCAACCAAUGAAUUUUUGCCCUUUGACUCAUUACUCUUUCCUCCAGGUUUGAAAGGAAAAUCCAUCUUCUAUAUGAGACAGAUUCAGCUUCAAUAUUUAUCUGAGUGGGAUCUUCAAGAGUCUUCAUUUGAUCCCCACACAGUGUCUUAUACGCUUCCCUUGUCUUUUUUACAAUAUCUCCCAC
rnacentral:lncRNA from 1 species